UAGGUAGCGGUUCCUAUCUUU
rnacentral:piRNA from 1 species